rnacentral:rRNA from 1 species
ACGUCAAACUUCUAGGUUAUUAACCCAAAAGAUUUCCUCCUUACUGAAAGUGCUUUACGACCCUCGAGCCUUCUUCACACACGCGGUAUUGCUGGAUCAGGCUUUCGCCCAUUGUCCAAUAUUCCCC